GAUUGAUUGGUGUAAAAUAUGCCUCAUUUACUAAAAGCGUUUGUUUUUGCCUACCAACCUGAAGUGUAAAUAAUGGUCUAAAAUGACGGAUAAUGAUUCUUGCUCGUUGCAGACAGAUCAUUCCGAGACGCAGUACUCAAAUCUGACCACAGAAAGUAGCUUGGAUGGUUGUGAAACUGCUCCUUUUGUGCUCAGGUGUUGUUUGAGGAUUUUCGUGUUGUAGUUUUAUGUUUUUAACACCAGUGGUUCUUAAAUAAUCACACGAAAUAUAAUAAGAUUACAUGUUUUAAAUUCAGUUAAUUUAACGCAAAUAAUCUAACUUUUUAGUCAAAAACAACGACGGGCUGUUCUUAAACGAGAGAGAAGGAUAAGAAAGCGCCACUCCCUUGCUAAAAUCAGAGAAGCAGAUAUUAGGCGGACUAAUUUCUGUCAUAAAGUUUGACAUAUUACCCAUUUCCAUGUAAACAUUGCCCUAACAUAGACCUUAGCUUAAUGUCAGCUGUUCGUAAACACAUGACUUUUACAUUCCUAGAUCCGUCACAAAAUGAAGAAGACCAGACUGAAGGUGAUGAAGAAGAGAACACUGAAGAGCAGAGGGAGCGUUUACAUCAGGAAUGGAUGGAAAGAGAGAAAACUGCACAGGAAGAAUUCAAGGUGAAAACAGAGAGAGAAGAGGCAGUGCAAAAGAGGGAGGAAGAGACGAGGAUCAGAGAACUGUGUGAGGAGCAGCAGAAGAAAGAAAAAGAAGAGAGAGAGCAGAAGGAACAGGAGAAGAAAAAGAGAGAGGUGAUCUGUGCACUCGGAGGAUAAAGAUUCUGAUGUCUACAUA